rnacentral:lncRNA from 1 species
ACGCCUACUGGUACCGGUACGGCAUACCUUGGCUUGAUGCCAACUGAAAUCAUUGGCCAAAUCUAAAUUCUCUAUCACAACCUUUUUCUGUGCUGUCUUAUGCAUUUCCCUUGUUUUUUCUUGCUCAACAUAAUUCUUAAUUUUGUAUUAUAUUGUCCCUGAAUUCUUUGUUGUAGAUUCCCAAGUCAUUUGGUUUGGCUCUCCACUGUUUGAGUGUAAACUAUUGGAUUUGUAUACUUUCUUUGAUUUUGUUCCGACCAUUGUCAUUAUUAGUUUUACAAAUAAUCCACUCAAUAUAUCUUGAUAAGUUAAAUAAUUAGGUGAAUUAUCAUAAUUUAAGAUAGGAGAAAAUGUUGAUUAGCGUGUUUAAUAAGGGAGUUUUAGUUGUGUUUAAUCGAAAAAUCUUCUAGAUUAGUAUCUCUUGCUUAAUAUUUUUAAUAAGGGAAUUUUAUCUGCUUUGUUUAUAUUACCAUGUACUACUCUGCAUUAUGGUGCAAGAUGGUCAGCUAAUACCAUAAUUUUCUAGUCAAAAGCACUACAUCAUCAACAAAAUCUGCAGCAAAUGGUAAACAUUAUGCUUCUACCCUACUAUAAGUUAAUCAUAUGAGUUAUUUGCUGAUGGUUGCUGCAAAGAGCUAAAGCAAUGAUGGAGAUAGGGGUAGUUUGACGGAUCUUCCAUGGAAAUGUGACAAGAAACUAGAUGUGCUGGAUGCAUGGUAUGCUGAACCGGCCUGUACCAGCCAGUCCGGUCUUUGACUAGUCUGAUUAUGCAGUGAAAAAUGGGGCUGGAACCAAGCGGUACGGAGCCCGUACCGGCUUGAACCAACCGGCAUCGGCCGGUACAAGAGUGAACCGGACGGAACCGGACUGGUUCUGUCCUGUUUGGCCAGUGCGAACCGGCACCGAAACUUAUGGCAUUUAAAUGCCCCGCGCGCACACUGUGCGCUGUUGGCCGGUUCGGUACCGGUCUGGUAGGCGGCUGGUUCGGUACCGGUCUGGUAGGCGACCGGUACGCCUACUGGUACCGGUACGGCAUACCUUGGCUUGAUGCCAACUGAAAUCAUUGGCCAAAUCUAAAUUCUCUAUCACAACCUUUUUCUAUGCUGUCUUAUGCAUUUCCCUUGUUUUUUCUUGCUCAACAUAAUUCUUAAUUUUGUAUUAUAUUGUCCCUGAAUUCUUUGUUGUAGGUUCCCAAGUCAUUUGGUUUGGCUCUCCACUGUUUGAGUGUAAACUAUUGGAUUUGUAUACUUUCUUUGAUUUUGUUCCGACCAUUGUCAUUAUUAGUUUUACAAAUAAUCCACUCAAUAUAUCUUGAUAAGUUAAAUAAUUAGGUGAAUUAUCAUAAUUUAAGAUAGGAGAAAAUGUUGAUUAGCGUGUUUAAUAAGGGAGUUUUAGUUGUGUUUAAUCGAAAAAUCUUCUAGAUUAGUAUCUCUUGCUUAAUAUUUUUAAUAAGGGAAUUUUACCUGCUUUGUUUAUAUUACCAUGUACUACUCUGCAUUAUGGUGCAAGAUGGUCAGCUAAUACCAUAAUUUUCUAGUCAAAAGCACUACAUCAUCAACAAAAUCUGCAGCAAAUGGUAAACAUUAUGCUUCUACCCUACUAUAAGUUAAUCAUAUGAGUUAUUUGCCGAUGGUUGCUGCAAAGAGCUAAAGCAAUGAUGGAGAUAGGGGUAGUUUGACGGAUCUUCCAUGGAAAUGUGACAAGAAACUAGAUGUGCUGGAUGCAUGGUAUGCUGAACCGGCCUGUACCAGCCAGUCCGGUCUUUGACUAGUCUGAUUAUG